rnacentral:rRNA from 1 species
AUUGAACGCUGGCGGCAUGCCUUACACAUGCAAGUCGAACGGCAGCACGGGGCGAACCCUACGGUGGCGAGUGGCGAACGGGUAGGAGUAAUAACAUCGGAACGGUAGCCCGGGUACGGUGGGGGAGUAGCUCGGCGGAAAGACCGGACUUAAUUACCGCAUACGACCUGCGGGUGGAAAGACGGGGGAGUCGCAAGACCU